rnacentral:rRNA from 1 species
UGAGGAAUAUUGGUCAAUGGGCGCGAGCCUGAACCAGCCAAGUCGCGUGAGGGAGGACGGCCCUACGGUUGUAAACCUCUUUGCCGGGGAGCAACGGGCGUCACGUGUGGCGCCACUGAGAGUACCCGGAGAAAAGCAUCGGCUAACUCCGUGCC